rnacentral:rRNA from 1 species
CCUUCGGGUGGCAGCAGUGGGGAAUAUUGCACAAUGGAGGGAACUCUGAUGCAGCGACGCCGCGUGAAUGAAGAAGUAAUUCGUUAUGUAAAACUCUAUCAGCAGGGGAGAAAGUGACGGUACCUGAAAAAGAAUCUCAGGCUAAAUCCGUGCCAGCAGCCGCGGUAAUACGUAUGGAGCAAGCGUUAUCCGGAUGUACUGGGUGUAAAGGGAGAGUAGGUGGCAGAGCAAGUCCGAAGUGAAAACCCAAAGCUCAACUAUGGGAAUGCUUUAGAAACUGCUCAGCUAGAGUGCAGGAGAGGGAAGUGGAAUGUUUGGUGUAGCGGUGAAAUGCGUAGAUAUUAGGAGGAACACCAGUGGCGAAGGCGGCUUUCUGGACUGUAACUGACACUGAGGCGCGAAAGCGUGGGGAGCAAACAGGAUUAGAUACCCUAGUAGUC